GAUGAACGCUGGCGGCGUGCCUAAUACAUGCAAGUCGAGCGAACAGACGAGGAGCUUGCUCCUCUGACGUUAGCGGCGGACGGGUGAGUAACACGUGGAUAACCUACCUAUAAGACUGGGAUAACUUCGGGAAACCGGAGCUAAUACCGGAUAAUAUAUUGAACCGCAUGGUUCAAUAGUGAAAGACGGUUUUGCUGUCACUUAUAGAUGGAUCCGCGCCGCAUUAGCUAGUUGGUAAGGUAACGGCUUACCAAGGCAACGAUGCGUAGCCGACCUGAGAGGGUGAUCGGCCACACUGGAACUGAGACACGGUCCAGACUCCUACGGGAGGCAGCAGUAGGGAAUCUUCCGCAAUGGGCGAGAGCUUGACGGAGCAACGCCGAGUGAGUGAUGAAGAUCUUCGGAUCGUAAAACUCUGUUAUUAGGGAAGAACAAAUGUGUAAGUAACUAUGCACGUCUUGACGGUACCUAAUCAGAAAGCCACGGCUAACUACGUG
rnacentral:rRNA from 1 species